rnacentral:rRNA from 1 species
GACGAACGCUGGCGGCGUGCUUAACACAUGCAAGUCGAGCGGUAAGGCCCUUUCGGGGUACACGAGCGGCGAACGGGUGAGUAACACGUGGGUGACCUGCCCUCAGCUCUGGGAUAAGCCUGGGAAACCGGGUCUAAUACUGGAUAUGACUCCAUGACGCAUGUUGUGGGGUGGAAAGCCUUGUGCGGCUGAGGAUGGGCCCGCGGCCUAUCAGCUUGUUGGUGGGGUGAUGGCCUACCAAGGCGACGACGGGUAGCCGGCCU